AGUGAACGCUGGCGGUAGGCCUAACACAUGCAAGUCGAACGGCAGCACAGUAAGAGCUUGCUCUUACGGGUGGCGAGUGGCGGACGGGUGAGGAAUACAUCGGAAUCUACUUUUUCGUGGGGGAUAACGUAGGGAAACUUACGCUAAUACCGCAUACGACCUACGGGUGAAAGCAGGGGAUCUUCGGACCUUGCGCGAUUGAAUGAGCCGAUGUCGGAUUAGCUAGUUGGCGGGGUAAAGGCCCACCAAGGCGACGAUCCGUCGCUGGUCUGAGAGGAGGAUCAGCCACACUGGAACUGAGACACGGUCCAGACUCCUACGGGAGGCACCAGUGGGGAAUAUUGGACAAUGGGCGCAAGCCUGAUCCAGCCAUACCGCGUGGGUGAAGAAGGCCUUCGGGUUGUAAAGCCCUUUUGUUGGGAAAGAAAAGCAGCAGGUUAAUACCCCGCUGUUCUGACGGUACCCAAAGAAUAAGCACCGGCUAACUUCGUG
rnacentral:rRNA from 1 species